rnacentral:rRNA from 1 species
GGACCCGCACAAGCGGUGGAGCAUGUGGUUUAAUUCGAUGCAACGCGAAGAACCUUACCUGGCCUUGACAUGUCGAGAAUCCCGAAGAGAUUUGGGAGUGCCGCAAGGAACUCGAACACAGGUGCUGCAUGGCUGUCGUCAGCUCGUGUCGUGAGAUGUUGGGUUAAGUCCCGCAACGAGCGCAACCCUUGUCCUUAGUUGCCAGCAUUAAGUUGGGCACUCUAAGGAGACCGCCGGUGACAAACCGGAGGAAGGUGGGGAUGACGUCAAGUCAUCAUGGCCUUUAUGGCCAGGGCUACACACGUGCUACAAUGGUAGAUACAGAGGGAAGCCAACGCGCGAGCGGGAGCCAAUCCCAGAAAAUCUAUCGUAGUCCGGAUCGGAGUCUGCAACUCGACUCCGUGAAGUCGGAAUCGCUAGUAAUCGCAGAUCAGCAUUGCUGCGGUGAAUACGUUCCCGGGUCUU